rnacentral:rRNA from 1 species
UAGUGGCGAACGGGUGAGUAACACGUGGGCAAUCUGCCCUGCACUCUGGGACAAGCCCUGGAAACGGGGUCUAAUACCGGAUAUUGACCUGCCUCUGCAUGGAGGUGGGUGGAAAGCUCCGGCGGUGCAGGAUGAGCCCGCGGCCUAUCAGCUAGUUGGUGAGGUAAUGGCUCACCAAGGCGACGACGGGUAGCCGGCCUGAGAGGGCGACCGGCCACACUGGGACUGAGACACGGCCCAGACUCCUACGGGAGGCAGCAGUGGGGAAUAUUGCACAAUGGGCGAAAGCCUGAUGCAGCGACGCCGCGUGAGGGAUGACGGCCUUCGGGUUGUAAACCUCUUUCAGCAGGGAAGAAGCGAAAGUGACGGUACCUGCAGAAGAAGCGCCGGCUAACUACGUGCCAGCAGCCGCGGUAAUACGUAGGGCGCGAGCGUUGUCCGGAAUUAUUGGGCGUAAAGAGCUCGUAGGCGGCUUGUCACGUCGGUUGUGAAAGCCCGGGGCUUAACCCCGGGUCUGCAGUCGAUACGGGCAGGCUAGAGUUCGGUAGGGGAGAUCGGAAUUCCU